rnacentral:rRNA from 1 species
CCCUUAGAUGUUCUGGGCCGCACGCGCGCUACACUGAUGCAUUCAACGAGCACCCGCUGGGCCGAGAGGUCCGGCUAAUCUUUGAACGUGCAUCGUGCUGGGGAUAGAUGAUUGCAAUUAUUCAUCUUCAACGAGGAAUUCCUAGUAAACGCAAGUCAUCAGCUUGCAUUGAUUACGUCCCUGCCCUUUGUACACACCGCCCGUCGCACCUACCGAUUGAAUGAUUUAGUGAGGACUUCGGACUGGGACCGAUGCGGCUUUCGGGCUGCGUCGGUAUUCUGGAAAGAUGUCCAAACUGUAUCAUUUAGAGGAAGUAAAAGUCGUAACA